CUAACCGUUGAUCUGGAGUCCACAUUCUGCAUGGCUGGACUAAGUGAAUACACGUGCUAUCAACACUGGCAAAGGAUUUAUCCUUCUGCCAUGUCUAGGCCAAAAGUAAAGGCCCAGGAGUACGAGCAGUGCAGAGAGCUCACCAGCCUAAGCCAGGUGUUACCAAGAACAAGUCACAAUGGGCCUGUGCGUCCUCUACAGACUCCGGGAGGGGACUUUGCCUCCACUGCUGAGAGACCAAAGCCUCACCUGUUCUAAGUGACAUUCUGCAGCUCGUGUCCCAGCAGUACUACAAUGCCUGAGCUCCAGCAAGCUGCCUGGAUGGUCAGUCCAUUUA